rnacentral:rRNA from 1 species
CAGCCGCCGCGGGAAUACGUAGGGGGCGAGCGUUGUCCGAAGUUACUGGGCGUAAAGAGCGCGUAGGCGGGUCUUUAAGUGAGGGGUGAAAGGUUCAGGGCUCAACCCGGACACUGCCUUUCAUACUGGAGACCUUGAGUGUGGGAGAGGCGAGUGGAAUGGUCGGUGUAGCGGUGAAAUGCGUAGAGAUGUGGAGGAACACCAGUGGCGAAGGCGACUCUCUGGUCUGUAACUGACGCUGAGGAGCGAAAGCGUGGGGAGCGAACAGGAUUAGAUACCCCCGUAGUCCCUGUCUCUUAUA